AUUGAACGCUGGCGGCAUGCUUUACACAUGCAAGUCGAACGGCAGCGCGGGCUUCGGCCUGGCGGCGAGUGGCGAACGGGUGAGUAAUGCAUCGGAACGUGCCCAGUAGUGGGGGAUAGCCCGGCGAAAGCCGGAUUAAUACCGCAUACGACCUGAGGGUGAAAGCGGGGGACCGAAAGGCCUCGCGCUAUUGGAGCGGCCGAUGUCGGAUUAGCUAGUUGGUGGGGUAAAGGCUUACCAAGGCGACGAUCCGUAGCUGGUCUGAGAGGACGACCAGCCACACUGGGAUUGAGCCACGGCCCAGACUCCUACGGGAGGCAGCAGUGGGGAGUGUUGGAAAAUGGGGGCAACCCUGAGCCAGCCAUGCCGCGUGAGGGAAAAAGGCCGUCGGGUUGUAAAACGCUUUUGUUGGGGAAGAAAGCCUCGGCGCUAAUACCCCGGGGGGAGGACGGUACCGGAAGAAUAAGCACCGGCUAACUCCGUG
rnacentral:rRNA from 1 species